rnacentral:rRNA from 1 species
GAUGAACGCUGGCGGCGUGCCUAACACAUGCAAGUCGAGCGAAGCACUUACUUUAGAUUUCUUCGGAAUGACGAAGUUUGUGACUGAGCGGCGGACGGGUGAGUAACGCGUGGGCAACCUGCCCUGUACAGGGGGAUAACAGUUAGAAAUGACUGCUAAUACCGCAUAAGCCCACAGCUUCGCAUGAAGCAGUGGGAAAAACUCCGGUGGUACAGGAUGGGCCCGCGUCUGAUUAGCUAGUUGGUAAGGUAACGGCUUACCAAGGCGACGAUCAGUAGCCGACAUGAGAGGGUGACCGGCCACAUUGGGACUGAGACACGGCCCAAACUCCUACGGGAGGCAGCAGUGGGGAAUAUUGCACAAUGGGGGAAACCCUGAUGCAGCGACGCCGCGUGAGCGAUGAAGUAUUUCGGUAUGUAAAGCUCUAUCAGCAGGGAAGAAAGUGACGGUACCUGACUAAGAAGCCCCGGCUAACUACGUG